rnacentral:rRNA from 1 species
GAUCAUGGCUCAGGAUGAACGCUAGCUACAGGCUUAACACGUGCAAGUCGAGGGGCAGCAUGGUCUUAGCUUGCUAAGACUGAUGGCGACCGGCGCACGGGUGAGUAACACGUAUCCAACCUGCCGUCUAUUCUUGGACAGCCUUCUGAAAGGAAGAUUAGUACAAGAUGGCAUCAUGAGUCCGCAUGUUCACAUGAUUAAAGGUAUUCCGGUAGACGAUGGGGA